CCUGCUGUUCCUGUGGGACAGGCUCGAGGAGGGGGGGCUGAACCGGGGGAGCAGGGUGAGGAGACAGGGCAAUGAUGACUGAGUGAAGCCAUUGCUUUGGGGGAGGGAGGGUGCCUUCAUUAGCUCUAAAGAGCUUCCCAUCACCAUGCGAGGCCCGCUGCAGUCAAAUAGCAGGGCCCCCACCCCCACCACCACCACCACCUCACCUUCGUGCACCGUUGCUUUAACACCCUCCUGGGUCACUGCUACUGCUGAGUGGGUGCCUGUGCGGCCGGGGAGGGAGAGGUGGGAGACAGAGAAAAGGGCCUGUGGAUAUCUGACAGUGUGUGAUUUUGCUCCCCUCCGGCCCCAUCGCCCUGCAGGAGGAACUGAACAGUGACAGUGUGGAACGUAUCGUUGUCAAUCCCAACGCCUCUUACGACAAGUUUAAGGACAAGCGGGUCAGCACCAAGGAUAUCGAUUUCUCUGACCGGAUCAGCAGGGCUAGGAGAACGGGUUACGAAUCUGGCGAUUACGAGAUUCUGGCAGAAGGAUGUGGCACCAAGGAGACCCCACAGCAGAAAUACCAGCGCCUGCUGCACGAACUGACAGAGCUGUCGGAGGAGGUCGAGCAGAUCAAGAUUUCUGCGAAGGACUCAGCGGCAGAGGAGAAACUGACCCCCGUCACCUUGGCCAAUCAAGUGGCUGGCCUGAAGAAGCACCUGAUGGCCUUGCAACUGGAGCAGGUUCUUGGACCUGAUGCCACCAUCGACCUGACCGACCCCCAGGGAGCUCUGGCCAAGCGCCUGCUGACCCAACUGGAUGUCACCCGGAGCGGGAAGGAGGGAGGCUCACCGGCCGGAAAAGAGAGCGGCCAGGUUGGGAACACCAACGCAGUGACUUACGAGCUUUAUUAUCGACCAGAGCAGACCCGGUUCACUCAGGCUGCCAAGGUGAG